CCACAGAAGGCCUCCAAAGGAAACCUCAGGGAAAAUGUGGAAAACGGCCCCAGGGGACAUGGAGAGCAGCUGAGGCUUAGCACUGUGAGAAGCUUGAGGAAGGUGCUGCCUCAGUAGCAGUUGAAAGUCCAGGACUAAGGACUCUGCAGAGAAUUGGAGGACUGGCAACAUGAAGGAAUCUCAGGAAAGGCUACUGGUGAAAGGUACAGGCCAGUUGCUUCAAGAGACCCCAACAUUUGUCAGAUUGUGGGAUGACCACCAAGAAUAACAGCAACACUCGAGUGGAGCCAACCAGAGCCUAGAAGACAAGCUUUGUGUCUUCAAGAUGGUGGAGAAGUCAUCAAAGCCCUUUGAAGGAGUCAGAUGGAUAUAAAUCAACAGAGAAAUGUUCCAGAUGAAGGCCCAUGCUUCAGAUGGUCAUAUUCCUGAUGGAUGAGAACAUGCAUAGCUAUCAACUGAGGUGGAGAAAUUAUAAGUUAACAACGGAUGACAAGUUCUUUCCCUCAUUGUUGAUAUAAAUGUCCACAGGAGACCAAGAAUGGGACAGCAGAAAACAUUUCUAGGACUUUUUCUGCUUCAGCAUAAAAUUAUGUCUGCUGUUUGCUUGCGCACCCUUCUUGACUAAGCUUCAAAUUGACCAUGUAGGUCUAUGCUCUGUCUGCUCUUGAUUCUUGCUAUAAACAUGGCUAAAGGAAGGCAGGAAUGGCUGUGCCAUAAACUAUUUAAUAUGUUGCCCUGGAAUUUCCUACAGAAGAUUAACUGUUUACUACUUCAAUAUCAGUGUCUCAUAAAAUUUGAAAACCUGAUGAAAUGUAUAUGGAUUUUUUUUGCUAUGGUUUUCAAUAGGACCUUCAUUUUUAGGACCUUUAUCUGGACACUGGUCUGGAAGAACACUUUCCUCUUUGCAUCUCAAUCAGUAUUCUCCUUACCUUCAGUCUACUUACAGAUUUCUAAUUUGAUCCUAAUAUUCUCCUGAGAAUUUUCCCCAAAUUCGUCCUACAAAUCAGUUCUAAAGGCUUUUCCACAAGUCUAGUAAUGGCCUAAACCACUAUACUUCUAAGCCCCAAUCUUCUGUCUAUCAUCCCUGUAUCACUAUAAUAAAUAGCCAAGAUAAUCACUGUGUGAGCAGAAAAGGCUUACUUUAGCUUGAAAUUUCAGAGUUCUCAUGUCUAGUUUUUCACUAAGUGAAAUAAAUGAACAAACAAAAGAUCCUCACAGCACUGGCUUCAAACAGGAAACUCCUAUCAUAGUGAAGAACUUUAACAAAAUCUGUGGAGAAUGCUGUUUACUAGCUAACUCCCUAUGUGCCUUAUACUCAGUACCUUUCUUAAACAGUUCAGGAACAUUUGCCUAGGAAUGGUACCACCCACAAUGGGUCAUUAAUAAUUAACAAUCUACAAUCAAGAAACUCCCUCAUAAAUAUGCCUACAGUUCAGUUAGCAUGCCUACAGGCCACACCAAUUAAAAAUCAAGGAAGUCACUCAUAGACAUGCUUACAAGCCAAUCAGACAUAGGCAAUUUCUCAAUUGAGGUGUUCCUCUAAGAUGACCCCAGUCUAUGCCACAGUGACUCAGGACAGUUCCUCAUGCGACAUAUAAACAUGUAGUUAUUACCCAUGUAUAAUAAUAGAUGGUAAUAGAACAAUGGAAGUCCUCAAAUCCAUUGUGCUCC